rnacentral:lncRNA from 1 species
CCACAGAAUUUAAUUAAUAAAUAGUCAAAAUUUGGAUACAACGAUCUCAUAAUCGAAUGGUUUAAUCCUCUACGAAGAAUUCAGAAUGAAUAAUAUUUUUCAAGGUUUCUUGCAUUAUAGAUAUCACCGAGAAAGAUACCGACAGUGGUGAAGUACGUGAAGUACGACAGUACGUGUGAAAGUUCGGAAUGAAAGUUUACGAUAGAAGCAUAAAGCACAUAGGAAAGUUUAACUUUGUUCUUUGAAACGUGUCAAUUAUAAUCGUAUGAGACUUAAAUGAGCGAAACACAGGUACCUACUUCUAAAGAACUUUACUAUAAAAUGAUCGUGACUCGACAAUUUUUAACAAGCCGAAACCUUGGAGCAUCGAGUAAUUUCCCGUUACCUCACCCUACGUAACGUACAAAUGACGAGAAGGAGCUUAAUAAAACAGCUCGGGCCAAUCGACGAUCAAAAGCUCGCCUUCCCAUCAGUUAAACUCGACGAACUCGUCCGCGACAGAAAUGAAAUCGAGUCGGUCAACAAUAAACCGACACCUCGCCGCGCGACAGCGAAUCGGAGGGAAGCAAAUAAUUCAAUUCGGACAAUGACACGUUCCAAGUCGGAGUUCAAGACUGUCAGACAGGAGUGCAACGAUACAUGCGUCACCGACCAGCCACGGCAUUACGAUUCUUCGACCAUGUCGAUCUCCCUUGUCGGCGACGAAACGUGUUACGUAAUUUUUGAUCCGAAGUAUAUUUUUGGAAAAGGACGAACGAGUAACUACGAGAAUCGACAAUGAGAUAUGUCGAGAGCAUAGAAAGAUUCUCGAGUCGAGUAUUAGUUCUUGUCGAAGACGAGCAACGUGUAGUGUCGCAAUCGUUGCAAUGGAGACACUGUGCGAUUUGACUUUUAUCGAGAGAUAAGAUUUAUAUUUAUGAGAUUCGCGCUUAUGAGAUUUGUAUUUCUGACGAUACGAUGUACAGAGGCUCCUGACGCUUCUAUUAGUCAUCACUGAAAAAUCGCAACGAAAUCGUGUCGUUCCUCUGAGAGGCGUUAUCGUACGAUUUUUAACGCGAACGCGACUCUGUUCGACGGCGGGAAAAGAAAAUCCGUGGUUAUAUUUAAAUAACCGCGUUCUGUCUGACGAACAGGCGAGAAGCAACGGUUCGACGAGCAGCUUUUAGCCUCGAUGCAGCCGCGACCGGUCGUGAUUUUCAUUUUUCCACUAUGGCCGAUACAAGCGGCACAGACAUCGAGCCGUACAAAGUCCGACGGAGAUCGAUGAUUGUGUGUUGGUGCACUCGUCUCUUCGUAGUCAGAGUAAAAAGACGGGUUUAUCUCACGACGAUUAACCAGCCGGCGAUCGACAAAUGGAACGAACAAUACGCCGCGUAUCACGGAUUGAUUUUGAUAUUUUGGAGCCACUUGUUGGGACUAUCCAACGCUUUAUUUUGGAUCGUAGAGGAAGAAAUGCAAUAUAGUUUUUAUAUAAAAGACAAAGAGUAGAGCUGGAGGAAAUAUAGGAAGAUUUGUUAGGAAGAAUGUACGGCAAAUUGGUUACAUUUAAGGAUUAAGUUCGAGACUUAAAAAUUAUUUUAGGACAGAUCGUUUAAACUGUAAUUCUUAUUAAAGAUUCUACUCUUACUAUUAUUAGAGAAUGAUAAAACUGCUCCACAUACAAUAAUGUAGCGUAAUUAACUUAUCAUAAUAUAACUACGUAUUCUGUAUUUCGUCACAGGCCCCACUGAUUCUAUUUUCGCUGAUAACGUCCCACGAUAAAAUUCUGCGCGUUUCUCUGGUUUUCGCGAGUUUCAGAUCUCGUAAUAAUUCGACUAUAAAUCCACUAUUCGACGUUUUCGCCCCUGUAAACCGCCAUCUCGAAAUUCCCUCCAGCCAUUCUCGAUUCUAUCUUAAAUAUUGGACCUCGUCAUUGCUGCAAAACUUUGAAUUACGAUGUGUAUUGGGCGAUGCUUCGCACAUUCGAUCCUUCCCUUUGCAAUGACAAUUUUUGUAAUUUUUUGAUCAUUAUGGAAUAUAAUUCAUCGCAACCCGGCUCACACAUCAUCAAACUGCGAAUGUUCAUACUUUUACGAGGAGAACUAAAGGACGAGAGAUGCUCGGUGGUUUGUUUCAACCGCUAAAGCUUAGUACCAUGUCUCGAAUAUUUUUCCCUAUUAUGUUCAUUCUGCGCAUCUUUGCACCCUUUAAAUUUCCCACAAACGCAACCUACGAACCACACAAAUAUAACAUUUUGGCACGUAUUAACAAAUACAGUAACACAGAACCUUCACGAUAAGCAAAUUCCAAGGAGCAAUUCCAAGUAAACGCGCGAGCGCAACAAUUAUCCUCGCAAAUAAAACGUAAGUACAGCCGCGAUACGUGUGCAAAAGAGUCAACCUCGAGCUCGCAGAUAAACAGGGAAAAAUGCGUCCGAACGGAUUGAAGAGAGAAGCGUUGAGCGAAGAAAUGAGAAAAGAAACGAGGAAUAUCAAGAAACUGGCAGAAAGAGCGAAAAACACGA